rnacentral:rRNA from 1 species
UUAGAGUUUGAUCCUGGCUCAGAAUGAACUUUGGCGGCAUGCCUAACACAUGCAAGUCGAACGAAAGCUUCGGCCUUAGUGGCGCACGGGUGCGUAACGCGUGGGAAUCUGCCCUUGGGUUCGGAAUAACAGAUAGAAAUGACUGCUAAUACCGGAUGAUGUCGUAAGACCAAAUAUUUAUCGCCCAAAGAUGAGCCCGCGUAGGACUAGCUAGUUGGUGAGGUAAAAGCUCACCAAGGCGACGAUCCUUAGCUGGUCUGAGAGGAUGAUCAGCCACACUGGGACUGAGACACGGCCCACACUCCUACGGGAGGCAGCAGUGGGGAAUAUUGGACAAUGGGCGAAAGCCUGAUCCAGCAAUGCCGCGUGAGUGAUGAAGGCCUUAGGGUUGUAAAGCUCUUUUACCCGAGAUGAUAAUGACAGUAUCGGGAGAAUAAGUCUCCGGCUAACUCCGUGCCAGCAGCCGCGGUAAUACGGAGGGAGCUAGCGUUGUUCGGAAUUACUGGGCGUAAAGCGCACGCAGGCGGCUUUUUAAGUCAGGGGUGAAAUCCCGGGGCUCAACCCCGGAACUGCCCUUGAAACUGGGAAGCUAGAAUCUUGGAGAGGCGAGUGGAAUUCCGAGUGUAGAGGUGAAAUUUGUAGAUAUUCGGAAGAACACCAGUGGCGAAGGCGUCUCGCUGGGCAAGUAUUGCCGCUGAGGUGCGAAAGCGUGGGGGCCAAAAAGGAUUGGAUCCCCUGGUUGUCCACGCCGUAACGAUUGAUAACUAGCUGUCCGAGUUCAUGGAACUUGGGUGGCGCAGCUAACGCACUAAGUUAUCCGCCUGGGGAGUGCGGUCGCAAGAUUAAAACUCAAAGGAAUUGACGGGGGCUCUGCACAAGCGGUGGAGCAUGUGGUCUAAUUCGAAGCAACGCGCAGAACCUUACCAGCCUUUGACAUCCUAGGACGAUUUCCAGAGAAGGAUUUCUUCCCUUCGGGGAGUGGAACACAGGUGCUGCAUCGCUGUCGUCAGCUCGUUUUGUGAGAUGUUGGGUUAAGUCCCGCAACGAGCGCAACCCUCGCCUCUAGCUACCAUCAUUUAUUUGGGUACUAUAAAGGAACCGCCGGUGAUAAGCCGGAGGAAGGUGGGGAUGACGUCAAGUCCUCAUGCCCCUUACGCGCUGGGCUACACACGUGCUACAAUGGCAACUACAGUGGGCAGCAAUCCCGCGAGGGUGAGCUUAUCUCCAAAAGUUGUCUCAGUUCGGAUUCUUCUCUGCAACUCGAGAGCAUGAAGGCGGAAUCGUUAGUAAUCGCGGAUCAGCACGCCGCGGUGAAUACGUUCCCAGGCCUUGCACACACCGCCCGUCA